CCCACAGUUGCAAGGGAAGAAGGCAACUGCUAAAGAAUUUUAAAUGCAAAUACGGCUUGAUUUUGAUUCUGGGUGACGUGAGUUAAUACCAAGUCAAUGAUAAGUUCAACUGUAUUAAAAGUCUUCAGAAGGGAGAUGACUGGAUUACUUUGACUGAGCCUGCUGGUAAAAAUAUCCAAACAUGACAAAGAAAAGGAGGUACGACUACAUCCUCCUAUCUGUACCUCCAGUGAUCUACUGAGCUUUCAAAGAGACUUGUUCACCUUUUUGGAAAAAGGAUGUAUUUACACAUUGCAAAAUAAGGUGGAAGGAUGGAGACACAGAGAAAAGUGUAUUUGCUGCCUCACUUAACAAACAUAUUGAUUUUUUUUCACUGCUAUCUUUGCAUUACCUGAAUUUAAUGUAGACCUACUA